AAAUGCACACAACACACAAUGGGAUAAGAAGCAAACCUGUGAUUGAACCUUUCAGGGGUUUUGACGGUCCAGACAACUAUAAAGUGUAGGCUCUACCCAAAUAGCCUAACACUUGGAUGUGGACUAACAAUAAAGAAACGUGAACAAGUUCAACAAGUGUUAUCCUAGGUAUAGGUAAUGUAGAUCGGGUAACUUCAUGAGGAAGGGUAACCUAAAAUCCUAACUCUUCACAAGAACCACCAAAGCGUGAAUGAUGCAAAUGUUCCAGGAUGUCCCAAACUUUGACAAUCACAACCAUUCUGUCCUUGCUAGUCACAAGCAUAACGGCUCAAGGUCCUCGAUCUUGAUCUGAUGAAAUGUACACCCAAAAUCAUCCCCAACGACUUACUUAACUCACUUCUUGAAACUGACCUUUGAUCUGCAGCGGUUGGAAAAUAAACGGUCUGCAUGACUUGGUUAACUUCUUCAGCAAUAAUAGCUUCUUUAACAUUCACGUCAUCAUCUAAAAUCUCCUCGAAGCUUUGAAACUCCAUGGUCUUUUAUCUACUCCAAAAUUCUUGGCUAAGUUCCCAAAGAUUUUCUGUGUGAUCUUUGGCUUAUGCUCCAAAUCAUAAUCGAUGAAUCAAAUUCACUCGACCACAUAUCUCAAUGCUAAAAUUGUUGUAUAUGAUUAACUCAACCUCAACCUCCUGGCGGAAACAUCCCACUGUACCAA
rnacentral:lncRNA from 1 species